AUGCCAUCGUGGAAGGAUGGAGAGGAGAGCAGCAAGGAGGAGGAGCUGGCAAACCCUGGCACCACUAUAGAUGCAUCCUUCUGUGGUAGAGCUGCAGAUGCAAGCAUCAAAUGUACACUGCACUUGGCCCCAUGCAUGAAAUAUGUUGCAUUUGAAGGAAAGGACACUGUGAGGAGGUUCUAUGGAUGUGUUGUUCCUCAGAAGCAGAUGGAUGUGGACAAGGACAUGGAGAAGCUAGCUAUCAGCAAGGAGAAGGAGAGUGCUACCUUUGGCAAGAUGAAGGAGAUGGAGAAGCUAGCUGAGGAGCACAAGGAGCUAAAGUGCAUUCUUAGAUCUCAGGGAGAGAUCAUUAGGAACACCAGGAAGGAGAGGGAUGAGAUGCAGAAAGAGAGGGACUGGCAGAUAGAGGAGAAGAAGAAGCUGGAGUUUCUGGUGGGUGAUCUUAUGAAAGCUGGUCAUGGCAACAAGGACAAGCUUGCCAAGAUAAAGUCAAUCCUUGAUGAGUGA
rnacentral:rRNA from 1 species